CAGCAGCCACGGUAAUACAGAGGGUGCGAGCGUUAAUCGGAUUUACUGGGCGUAAAGCGUGCGUAGGCGGCUUCUUAAGUCGGAUGUGAAAUCCCUGAGCUUAACUUAGGAAUUGCAUUCGAUACUGGGAAGCUAGAGUAUGGGAGAGGAUGGUAGAAUUCCAGGUGUAGCGGUGAAAUGCGUAGAGAUCUAGAGGAAUACCGAUGGCGAAGGCAGCCAUCUGGCCUAAUACUGACGCUGAGGUACGAAAGCAUGGGGAGCAAACAGGAUUAGAUACCCCCGUAGUCCCUGUCUCUUAUAA
rnacentral:rRNA from 1 species